rnacentral:misc_RNA from 1 species
UUUAAAUAUAUUUAUUCUAGUUCAUCUCUCUCUCUCUCUCACCUCACUAGACGCAAACCUUCCACAUAAUAUUUCUUAUAGUUGACCUGAUUUCUCAUUUCAAGAUGAGAAUAUUUCCCACCUGGAUUAUUGGCAUGAAACUUGUUCCUUCUUUCUCUGUAAGAGAAUUUAUAAAUACAUCUAAGUGAGGUAGAGUAAACUAAUUUUUACAGCAUUUCUCUACACCAUAUUUGCAUUUGCAGGUAUGAUGUCUUGGUUGAAAA